rnacentral:rRNA from 1 species
UACGAAGGGGGCUAGCGUUGCUCGGAAUCACUGGGCGUAAAGGUGCGUAGGCGGGUCUUUAAGUCAGGGGUGAAAUCCUGGAGCUCAACUCCAGAACUGCCUUUGAUACUGAGGAUCUUGAGUUCGGGAGAGGUGAGUGGAACUGCGAGUGUAGAGGUGAAAUUCGUAGAUAUUCGCAAGAACACCAGUGGCGAAGGCGGCUCACUGGCCCGAUACUGACGCUGAGGCACGGAAAGCGUGGGGAGCAAACAGG